rnacentral:rRNA from 1 species
UUAAGUUAUUAAGGGCGCACGGUGGAUGCCUUGGCACUAGAAGCCGAUGAAGGACGUUACUAACGACGAUAUGCUUUGGGGAGCUGUAAGUAAGCUUUGAUCCAGAGAUUUCCGAAUGGGGAAACCCAGCAUGAGUUAUGUCAUGUUAUCGAUAUGUGAAUACAUAGCAUAUCAGAAGGCACACCCGGAGAACUGAAACAUCUUAGUACCCGGAGGAAGAGAAAGAAAAUUCGAUUCCCUUAGUAGCGGCGAGCGAAACGGGAAGAGCCCAAACCAACAAGCUUGCUUGUUGGGGUUGUAGGACACUCUAUACGGAGUUACAAAGGACGACAUUAGACGAAUCAUCUGGAAAGAUGAAUCAAAGAAGGUAAUAAUCCUGUAGUCGAAAAUGUUGUCUCUCUUGAGUGGAUCCUGAGUACGACGGAGCACGUGAAAUUCCGUCGGAAUCUGGGAGGACCAUCUCCUAAGGCUAAAUACUCUCUAGUGACCGAUAGUGAACCAGUACCGUGAGGGAAAGGUGAAAAGCACCCCGGAAGGGGAGUGAAAUAGAACCUGAAACCGUGUGCUUACAAGUAGUCAGAGCCCGUUAAUGGGUGAUGGCGUGCCUUUUGUAGAAUGAACCGGCGAGUUACGAUUUGAUGCAAGGUUAAGCAGUAAAUGUGGAGCCGUAGCGAAAGCGAGUCUGAAUAGGGCGUUUAGUAUUUGGUCGUAGACCCGAAACCAGGUGAUCUACCCUUGGUCAGGUUGAAGUUCAGGUAACACUGAAUGGAGGACCGAACCGACUUACGUUGAAAAGUGAGCGGAUGAACUGAGGGUAGCGGAGAAAUUCCAAUCGAACCUGGAGAUAGCUGGUUCUCUCCGAAAUAGCUUUAGGGCUAGCCUCAAGUGAUGAUUAUUGGAGGUAGAGCACUGUUUGGACGAGGGGCCCCUCUCGGGUUACCGAAUUCAGACAAACUCCGAAUGCCAAUUAAUUUAACUUGGGAGUCAGAACAUGGGUGAUAAGGUCCGUGUUCGAAAGGGAAACAGCCCAGACCACCAGCUAAGGUCCCAAAAUAUAUGUUAAGUGGAAAAGGAUGUGGCGUUGCCCAGACAACUAGGAUGUUGGCUUAGAAGCAGCCAUCAUUUAAAGAGUGCGUAAUAGCUCACUAGUCGAGUGACACUGCGCCGAAAAUGUACCGGGGCUAAACAUAUUACCGAAGCUGUGGAUUGUCCUUUGGACAAUGGUAGGAGAGCGUUCUAAGGGCGUUGAAGCAUGAUCGUAAGGACAUGUGGAGCGCUUAGAAGUGAGAAUGCCGGUGUGAGUAGCGAAAGACGGGUGAGAAUCCCGUCCACCGAUUGACUAAGGUUUCCAGAGGAAGGCUCGUCCGCUCUGGGUUAGUCGGGUCCUAAGCUGAGGCCGACAGGCGUAGGCGAUGGAUAACAGGUUGAUAUUCCUGUACCACCUAUAAUCGUUUUAAUCGAUGGGGGGACGCAGUAGGAUAGGCGAAGCGUGCGAUUGGAUUGCACGUCUAAGCAGUAAGGCUGAGUAUUAGGCAAAUCCGGUACUCGUUAAGGCUGAGCUGUGAUGGGGAGAAGACAUUGAGUCUUCGAGUCGUUGAUUUCACACUGCCGAGAAAAGCCUCUAGAUAGAAAAUAGGUGCCCGUACCGCAAACCGACACAGGUAGUCAAGAUGAGAAUUCUAAGGUGAGCGAGCGAACUCUCGUUAAGGAACUCGGCAAAAUGACCCCGUAACUUCGGGAGAAGGGGUGCUCUUUAGGGUUAACGCCCAGAAGAGCCGCAGUGAAUAGGCCCAAGCGACUGUUUAUCAAAAACACAGGUCUCUGCUAAACCGUAAGGUGAUGUAUAGGGGCUGACGCCUGCCCGGUGCUGGAAGGUUAAGAGGAGUGGUUAGCUUCUGCGAAGCUACGAAUCGAAGCCCCAGUAAACGGCGGCCGUAACUAUAACGGUCCUAAGGUAGCGAAAUUCCUUGUCGGGUAAGUUCCGACCCGCACGAAAGGCGUAACGAUUUGGGCACUGUCUCAACGAGAGACUCGGUGAAAUCAUAGUACCUGUGAAGAUGCAGGUUACCCGCGACAGGACGGAAAGACCCCGUGGAGCUUUACUGUAGCCUGAUAUUGAAAUUCGGCACAGCUUGUACAGGAUAGGUAGGAGCCUUUGAAACGUGAGCGCUAGCUUACGUGGAGGCGCUGGUGGGAUACUACCCUAGCUGUGUUGGCUUUCUAACCCGCACCACUUAUCGUGGUGGGAGACAGUGUCAGGCGGGCAGUUUGACUGGGGCGGUCGCCUCCUAAAAGGUAACGGAGGC